AUGAAAAAUAGGAUGCUCUUUUUAGAGGUCCGACCCUUCAUUUCCACACACUGUGAACCAAACUACUUUUUACACCUUCACAAACUCGAAAUGUUAAGAAUGUAAACAGUCUCUUAAUUGAGCAUAAAGUUAUUA
rnacentral:misc_RNA from 1 species